rnacentral:tRNA from 1 species
GAGGGUGUAGCUCAGUGGUAGAGUGUGUGCUUAGCAUGCACGAGCUCCUGGGUUCAAUCCCCUGUACCUCCA